GACGGACGCUGGCGGCGUGCUUAACACAUGCAAGUCGAACGGAAAGGCCCUGCUUUUGUGGGAUGCUCGAGUGGCGAACGGGUGAGUAACACGUGAGUGACCUGCCCUUGACUUUGGGGUAACUUCAGGAAACUGGGGCUAAUACCGGAUAGGAGCUCCUGCUGAAUGGUGGGGGUUGGAAAGUUUCGGCGGUUGGGGAUGGACUCGCGGCUUAUCAGCUUGUUGGUGGGGUAGUGGCUUACCAAGGCUUUGACGGGUAGCCGGCCUGAGAGGGUGACCGGCCACAUUGGGACUGAGAUACGGCCCAGACUCCUACGGGAGGCAGCAGUGGGGAAUAUUGCACAAUGGGCGGAAGCCUGAUGCAGCAACGCCGCGUGCGGGAUGACGGCCUUCGGGUUGUAAACCGCUUUCGCCUGUGACGAAGCGUGAGUGACGGUAAUGUGUAAAGAAGCACCGGCUAACUACGUG
rnacentral:rRNA from 1 species